UGUGUACUCCCUCCGUUCGAAAAUACUUGACUUCCAUUUGUCCAAAAAUGGAUGUACCUAUAUACUAAAAACAUGUCUAGAUACAUAUAUAUUUUGACAAAUAGAAGGCAUGUAUUGUGCAAUGGAGGGAGUAGAAU
rfam:Triticum aestivum genome assembly, contig: Triticum_aestivum_CS42_TGACv1_scaffold_030539_1BL